GCUUUCUACCAGUGGCCUUCAGGGAGCACAGUCCAUUUUAUCACUCCGUUACCGUAUGUUGACCAUAAACAUACUAUUUAUUAUACUAUCAAGAAGAGCUCAGGCUAACUGUGAGUGUGUGUGGGGGGCUCUUAAGCUCUCAGAGGAGGAAGGAUAUUAACUCCACACCGGCGGCCGUCAUGGAUAUUAACUCUUCCCUGUAAGCCUUCUUCCCUGCUGAUACAGCACACACUGAACUGGAUUGACUCCAAUUCCACGGUUCACAUACAGCAUGCAAUGAACUGCAGCAGAGCCAGGUCUAUGGGUCGUUUCCACCGGGAGUCCUUCUGCAGAGCAAUACCAUAUCCUGUAGUAGCGAAAACUUUUCCACUUCCAAUGGUCACCAGCUUGCAGCCCUCAUCUUUCCCAGCCAUGUAGUUCAAAACAGCAGCAUCGUAGAUGAAGGCAUCUAGUUUCCUGUAUCCAAAUGAACCCUUGUCUCAGUAUCUGAUUUCUCAAAGCAUACAUGAUAUUUUACAUUUUUUAAGAAAUCGCUUUUCAUCAAAAUAACGUGGAAGGAUCAGGGGUUAGAACUCUUACUUGCACCCCAGACAUGUAAAAAAUAAUUGUAUCCACUUGACAAAGUUUGCUUUUUUUUCUUGCAAAUAUACAUAGAGUACUGUGCAAAGGUCCAAGGCCAGCAUUAGGUUUGUUAGUUUAAUUAAGUUAUAUUGACCACACAUGCAUUUCUCAGUCUUUUUACUAAGAUACAAUCUGCAUAAAUGGGAAGUAUAUAGUAGUAAAAACAAAGGUUUCAGGGGAAAAAAACAGGUUCUAUAACCCAAAUAGAUAGUAUUUAGAGUGAUUUCCAUUAGCACUUAACAUGUCUUAACCCUUUUGUUCUCGCAAUUGGACAUUUAUUGCAUGGAUUUUCUGAUGCUUUAUAUCAGGUUUAAUUCAACGCAUGUCAGAUGUUUCUAACUGUGCUGCUCUUGUCAUGGGGUCAAGGGUUGCACUAAACAGGAACUUUAACCCUUUUUGUGUGUCUUUUAAGGCUGUGUACAUAUUUCCUUGAUUUUCUUGUUGUACUUGAGGAAAAGAGAAUAAGAAAUAAAUAUGUUUGUUCAUUUCACCCUGCAAAAACAAAGCUAAAAGUCACCAAAGAGUUGUGCACAGUACUGUAGAUGUUCGCACAUUCUAAUUACUUGUAUGUACGGUGGCCCUAAGGGUCAAAAAGCAAGAAAAUGUUCUUGGUUACAGCAGGGCAAUACUUUUCUUCUGUGACUGAACAGAACCCAGACAGAAACAGGAUGGGGCACUGAACUGCCACUAAGGACUGCAAAAAAAAUAGGUCUUGUUCCACUCUUCCCUUUAUCUAAAAUGUCAUUGCGUUUGGUGUAAAUGUUUUGUUUUGUGAAAUUUGUUUUCUGAAAUGUCAUGUCUUGUUAGAUGUUGUAUUUGCUGUGAUGUCUUGUCUUGUUUCCAACAUGUUGUGUUUUCUGAAAUGUCAUUCUGUUUUGACCCUCUGCUCUACCUUAUGUAGGGCCUCUAAUUCAUGUUGACUCAAAAGGUAAACUAAACAGUUUAUUCUGUGCAAUCCACACCUCCAACUGCUAAAUGGAACUUUUGAGAAAAUGCUGUUUUCAGCAGUGAGAGUGAAACAUGAAGGGUCAGGAUAUUCAGGAUGUUCAUUGUUCACAGUGGAAAUAAAAAGCUGUCUCCCUCUGUAUUUGCCUUGAAAUUUGACUUGGCAGUUUAUUUUUGAGUUUUAUUACUUUAUAUAUAAAUACAGUAAGUGGUUCUUAAAGUGUUUUUAACAAUGACUUGGUUCUUUCAUGCCUUUGACAGCACUUUACUAUUAAAAUUAAGCUGCACGAGACACAAUAUUUUCAUCUAUAAAUACACCCAUCACUUUGGCCUAAUUUUCAAAUCAGUGCUUCAACAAAAGGAGCAUCAAAUGUGCUGUUUUACAAAAUGUAGGAUUAUUAUCCCAUUCUCAGCUUAUGUUCUUGAUGAGAUGAAGAGCAGUCAAAUGUAAUGGGUUGAAUAUGACAAAAUAAAAGUGAAACUUUACCC